rnacentral:rRNA from 1 species
UCGGGUUGUAAAGCACUUUUGUCCGGAAAGAAAACUUCUGCCCUAAUACGGCGGGAGGAUGACGGUACCGGAAGAAUAAGCACCGGCUAACUACGUGCCAGCAGCGCGGUAAUCGUAGGGUGCGAGCGUUAAUCGGAAUUACUGGGCGUAAAGCGUGCGCAGGCGGUUCGUUAAGACAGAUGUGAAAUCCCCGGGCUUAACCUGGGAACUGCAUUUGUGACUGGCGAGCUAGAGUAUGGCAGAGGGGGGUAGAAUUCCACGUGUAGCAGUGAAAUGCGUAGAGAUGUGGAGGAAUACCGAUGGCGAAGGCAGCCCCCUGGGCCAAUACUGACGCUCAUGCACGAAAACGUGGGGAGCAAACAGGAUUAGAUACCCUGGUAGUCCACGCCCUAAACGAUGUCAACUAGUUGUUGGGUCUUCAUUGACUUAGUAACGUAGCUAACGCGUGAAGUUGACCGCCUGGGGAGUACGGUCGCAAGAUUAAAACUCAAAGGAAUUGACGGGGACCCGCACAAGCGGUGGAUGAUGUGGAUUAAUUCGAUGCAACGCGAAAAACCUUACCUACCCUUGACAUGGUCGGAACCCUGCUG